UGAGAAGUAAUGUUAUCAGAGCAGCAUUUAAAGAAGCUGGAUAUGCAAUCCCACUUUGAGAUGAAUGUGCUGGCAGUAGAAUUUAGAGGAAGACACAGGAGAAAAAUCUGCACUAUGAUGUGGAGAUAGACACAAACUACAUCGUGAAGAAGGCUGAAUCAAAGGUUGUAACAAAACGCAUUCUGUCUGAUCGCCACUUGCAGAGUCCAGUGACAACAUUGAGUGACUUAUCUUGUGUCUCACUCCACCUGAAGUUCAGGCUGGCAUCACGUCGACAAUGGCCAAGUUGUUGACUAGCUGUCUUGAGGUAAGACAUGAGGACCUCCUCCUUGCCUUCCACAAUGAUUUUGAGACCUGCCCAGUCACGUGGAACUGUAAGGCCAUUAAACCUCAUUCUCUUGUAAAUGGCCCAGUCUCAGCUGCCUACAAUGUGCUGCCACCUAAAUAUGAGGAUGUGUGAACUACGCCUAAGAUGACAGAAAGCAUUCACCAGGGCUUAGAAGACCCUGUGGCACCUGAAAGUGAAUGUGCAAUUGGAUUGGAGUUAUGCUGCAACAAUUAGCUGCUCAAUUGUGUGUUUAUUACAUAUACCAAGAUCACUUAAAUAACACUACAGCUCGAACUGAGCUUUCGCUGGCAGUGCACCACUGCUGUUUUGACGCCGUGGCAGACACUCUGCUGACUUCCAUCCCUCUGGAUCCAGCAGGGUGCCCACUGUGCUCCUAAUCCAGCGAGGCGCCCAUUGCUGCUCCACAUCAAGUUAAAGGCUUGCCAUUGUUCCUGCAGGCCUAAGUGCCUGGGUUCGUCCUAAUCGAGUUGAACACUAGUCACUGGGGUCCAUGGUUCCCUUCCGCGACCCACGACUUCUAAUAGAGUUAUAACACUCACCACAUGGCGCAAGAUUCCAUUCCUUGGAAUCCAUGAGACCAAGAACCCCAGGUCAGAGAAUACGACUCUUGCCACCAUCUUGGAAGUGGCCCACCACCAUCUUGGGAGCUCUGGAAGCAAGGACCCCCGGUAACAUUAGGGACAGUACUUGAGAAAUCUACCUUAUGGCUGUGGUUCUGUGUUGUAUUCUGUACUUGCUUCUCUCUACCUUAUGACUUAAAUGAACUAACCUUGAAAGCAGAUGAGUCUUUUGUAUAAAAGACUAGAAAAU
ensembl:lncRNA novel transcript